rnacentral:rRNA from 1 species
AUUGAACGCUGGCGGCGUGCUUAACACAUGCAAGUCGAGCGGUAACAGGCGUAGCAAUACGUGCUGACGAGCGGCGAACGGGUGAGUAAUGCUUCGGAAUCUUCCUCGUAGUGGGGAAUAACCUGGGGAAACUCAGGCUAAUACCGCAUACGAACUACGGUUGAAAGCAGGGGAUCGCAAGACCUUGCGCUAUGAGAUGAGCCGAAGUCGGAUUAGCUAGUUGGUGAGGUAAAGGCUCACCAAGGCGACGAUCCGUAGCUGGUCUGAGAGGACGACCAGCCACACUGGGACUGAGACACGGCCCAGACUCCUACGGGAGGCAGCAGUGGGGAAUAUUGGACAAUGGGGGCAACCCUGAUCCAGCGACGCCGCGUGUGUGAAGAAGGCCUGCGGGUUGUAAAGCACUUUUAGUGGGGAUGAAAAGCCGAAGGCUAAUACCUUUCGGUCUUGACCUAACCCAAAGAAAAAGCACCGGCUAACUCUGUGCCAGCCGCCGCGGUAAUAC